rnacentral:rRNA from 1 species
CCUACGGGAGGCAGCAGUGGGGAAUAUUGCACAAUGGGGGAAACCCUGAUGCAGCGACGCCGCGUGAGUGAAGAAGUAUUUCGGUACGUAAAGCUCUAUCAGCAGGGAAGAAAAUGACGGUACCUGACUAAGAAGCCCCGGCUAACUACGUGCCAGCAGCCUCGGUAAUACGUAGGGGGCAAGCGUUAUCCGGAUUUACUGGGUGUAAAGGGAGCGUAGACGGCAGCGCAAGGCUGGAGUGAAAUCCCAUGGCUUAACCAUGGAACUGCUUUGGAAACUGUGCAGCUAGAGUGCAGGAGAGGUAAGCGGAAUUCCUAGUGUAGCGGUGAAAUGCGUAGAUAUUAGGAGGAACACCAGUGGCGAAGGCGGCUUACUGGACUGUAACUGACGUUGAGGCUCGAAAGCGUGGGGAGCAAACAGGAUUAGAUACCCGAGUAGUC